AUGAGCAUUCUUCAUGGUUUCGGGGAAGCAACAGGCCUCAAGAUAAAUCCCAGCAAAUCGUCUACGACGCCCAUUCGCUAUGAGGAUAUCAACAUGGCUAAGGUUUUGCGGAGCUUUGGAGGGCAAACCAAAUCCUUCCUGAUAACCUAUCUUGGGCUGCCAAUCAUGCCAUGAAGACUCAGGCUGGUGCACCUCCAAUUCAUUAUUGAUCGCAUCCGAUCUCGGUUGGCAGGGUGGAAGAUGAAGCUCCUAACCAUUGUAGGACGAUGUGUUCUCGUAUGUGCGGUCUUGACUUCUUUGCCAACCUUCACCCUCACUGCUCUACGGGUGCCCAAGAAGCUUCUAAAGGAGGUCGACAAGUCUAGAGAAGAUUCCUUUGGGUGCAUGAUGAGGAGAUCGCCGGGGGCAAAUGCAAAGUAA
rnacentral:rRNA from 1 species